ensembl:lncRNA
GAUUACACCCUGCCUUCAUUAGGCAGAUAAAGUCAUCGCUGUGGAAGUGUAAGAUUGUCUUUUUGGAUAGUACUUAAUCAGGCUUCAAGUAUGUAUUGCUAAUAACUGUGAAUAAUAAAUUACUUCAAAGGCUGAAGCACACAUGCAUAUAGAAGACUGGUAAAUAGUUCUUAAGAUGUCUGUUCCAAAGACAGGAAAUAUCUUCGAUACUUCUACAAAGUGAAUUUAUUCAUUCUCACAAAUCCUUAAUGAAAUCUUCACUGUUUUCUAUUUUAGGUACACACAAAAGGAAAUAUUAGGAAAUAGUGACUUAUGAAACAAAGCAGAGAUCAAAUGAAGAAUGGACAUGGUUCUUUCUGUACACUGUUUUUAAGGAGGUGCAACUGAUCCACUUUCAAGAGAGUUUUUUCUAAUGCAUGUUUCUCACAUUAAAGACAGUUAUUUUACAGCAAACACUUGGUAUUUUAAGAGAUUUACUUUGCCUCCAUUUCUGAGGACAAGAUUUCUCACUCACAAAAAGAGUAUGACCAAAAAUUCUGCCUCUGAGAACUGCUAGUAUGACAGCUUUGGUGGUGAUUAGAUAUCUAUGAAUACAACUCCUGCUGCUUCAGUACUAUUUUGCUACCCCUCCCACAGUCUGAUCUUAACAAGUUAAGGUGUCUAUCCUCUUUUACCCCCAAAAUACAUCACAAAAGAGACAGGUGUAUAAGUGUCAAUCAAUAAAUUCUCUGGUCAAUCCUCUAAAUGGGAAUUCUGUAAGAGUAUGGUGAGCUAUUUCAGAGGCAAAAGGAAGGAGACCAUCUUAAUUCUGCACACCUAAGAUACAGCUUCUUUUACUUAUAAAUGGAUCUUUACAUUUUUGAUAGAUCUUUAUACUUUUAAACCAAAUAUAAGCUUUUCAAGUAUAUAGCAAGAAAACAUUUACUUUAAUUCAGUGCACUCCUACAAGAUUUCUCAUUACAGAGUAUUAAUAUUUGUUACUAAGAAAUAUUACUAUUUAUUACAUAAAGACUAUUACAAGUAAAUGCACUUCUGAGAUCAUGCUUCUCUAGACUGGUACAACAGCAUUGAUUUACACUGGAGUUAAACAAAAUUGCACUAGGAACAGUGUAAUUCAUUCUAGAUUCACAGAGCUGAUACUAAUAGUAUUUACCUUGCAUCCAAACUGAGAAUGAUUGCUUAAUCCCAUCACUGGAAUGAAAAGAAAAUCAUGAAAGUAAACCUGUACAGUUUAGUGUAUUGGUUACAAAAUCUGGUCAAAAAGGAGAGCACUGUCACUAGGAGCCAAAGCCAUAACGUGAAAGCUAGUUGUGUCUGUGUUCACAUAGAUGUUUGUCAACUCUGCUGGUUUUAGUAGACAUGGUGCGGUACAGGGGGACGUUCUGCAUGGAGGAAAGACGGGAAGAGGGAAGAAUUUGGUGAUUAAAACAUUAAUAUCUGCAUUCUAGAAAAUUAAUACAUGAAAAAGUAUAGACUUCCCUGAAAUGAAAAGGUUUUGCUACAGAAUUUAAUUCUGCAGUUCAUCCUAUUUUUAAUGGAUUUCACUUGUUACUUUCUGCCAUAUAGUACAUUAUGAAACCAUUCGUACAGUCCUUUUGCAAAAAUUAACAGCAUUUAUUGUGUUACAGUGCUUGCAAUUAAAAAAAAAAAAAA